rnacentral:rRNA from 1 species
AAAUGGAAAAUGGAAGAGGAAAGAAUUUAUUCAAGAAUCUGAAGAAAGAAAUUUAGCAAAUAGUUUUAGUGGCGGACUGGUGAGUAACACGCAAGCAACCAACCUAUUAGAGGGGAAUAACAUUGAGAAAUCAAUGCUAAUACCGCAUAAGCUGACAGAAUCGCAUGAUUAAGUCAGAAAAGGAGGAAUUCGCUAAUAGAUGGGCUUACGGCUGAUUAGCUAGUUGGUGGGGUAGAAGCCUACCAAGGCAACGAUCAGUAGCCGGACUGAGAGGUUGAACGGCCACAUUGGGACUGAGAUACGGCCCAGACUCCUACGGGAGGCAGCAGUCGGGAAUAUUGCGCAAUGGAGGGAACUCUGACGCAGUGACGCCGCGUAUAGGAAGAAGGUAUUCGUAUUGUAAACUAUUGUCGUUAGGGAAGAAAAGGACAGUACCUAAGGAGGAAGCUCCGGCUAACUAUGUGCCAGCAGCCGCGGUAAUACAUAGGGAGCGAGCGUUAUCCGGAAUUAUUGGGUGUAAAGGGUGCGUAGACGGGAGAGAAAGUUAGUUGUGAAAGCCCUCGGCUUAACUGAGGAACGGCAACUAAAACUACUCAUCUUGAGUACGAGAGAGGAAAGUGGAAUUUCUAGUGUAGCGGUGAAAUGCGUAGAUAUUAGGAGGAACACCAGUGGCGAAGGCGACUUUCUGGCUCGAAACUGACGUUGAGGCACGAAAGUGUGGGGAGCAAACAGGAUUAGAUACCCUGGUAGUCCACACUGUAAACGAUGGAUACAAGGUGUAGGAGGUAUUAAGCCUUUUGUGCCGACGCAAACGCAGUAAGUAUCCCACCUGGGGAGUACGACCGCAAGGUUGAAACUCAAAGGAAUUGACGGGGGCCCGCACAAGCAGUGGAGUAUGUGGUUUAAUUCGAAGUAACGCGAAGAACCUUACCAGGGCUUGACAUGCAUAUGAAUACUUAAGAGAUUAAGUAGCUUUUCGGAGCAUAUGCACAGGUGGUGCAUGGUUGUCGUCAGCUCGUGUCGUGAGAUGUUGGGUUAAGUCCCGCAACGAGCGCAACCCCUGUGAUUAGUUGCUAACGCGUGAAGGCGAGAACUCUAAUCAGACUGCCGUAGAUAACACGGAGGAAGGUGGGGAUGACGUCAAAUCAUCAUGCCCUAUAUGCCCUGGGCUACACACGUACUACAAUGGUAGCAACAGAGAGAGGCGAAGCAGAGAUGCGGAGCAAAACUUAAAAAAGCUAUCACAGUUCGGAUUGCAGGCUGAAAUUCGCCUGCAUGAAGCUGGAAUUGCUAGUAAUGGCAGGUCAGCAUACUGCCGUGAAUACGUUCCCGGGCCUUGUACACACCGCCCGUCACACCAUGAGAGUUGGAGAUACCCGAAGCCUGUGAGCUGACAAAUGAGGCAGCAG